AUGUUAAAAGGUGGCAGUGGGGGUCAGUACAUGUGGAGGUGGAGGAAGAACAUCUUAGAACCAGUCACGGGGUUUCGUGGGCCCCGUUCCGGUGCCCAGCUGGCCUGGCCCAGAUCUGAAGUGGCUGCAUGGCCUGGGCCUGGCGCUGGGGGCAGGCACCGGGGCCUGGUCAGACAUGGGCCAGAAGCACAAAAGUCAGACAAACACCUCUACGAGGAGUGUGUAGAGAAGGCUUUGAAGCUGGUCCUGAAAGUAGGAGGAAACGAAGUCACUGAACUCUCCACGGGCAGCUCAGGGCAUGACUCCAGCCUCUUCAAAGAUAAGAACGAUCAUGACAAACACAAGUAGAAAAAGAGAAAGAAAGGAGAGAAGCAGGUUGCAAGGGAAGAAAAAGGGAGAAAAUGCAGAAGUGCUAAGGAGGAUAAAAAGAAGCAACAUCGAGACCGUGUGGAGAAUGAUGCAGAAAAGGACCUGCAGUGUCAUGGCCCUGUGAGAUUAGGCUUGCCCCCUGAGAAGCCCCUCACAAGCUCUUUAGCGAAACUUUGAAUCAAUUGCCUCUCUUUGAUGAGACAAUUGCAGAGAAAAGAUCCAGGUGCUUUCUUUUCAUUUCCUGUGACUGAUUGUGUUUCUCCUGGCUGCUCCAUGAUCAUUAAACACCCAAUGGAUUUCAGUACCAUGCAAGGAAAGAUCAAGACCAACGACUACCAGUCCACAGAAGAACUAAAGGAUAACUUCAAACUAAUGUGCACUAAUGCCAUGAUUUACAACAAACCAGAGACCAUUUAUUAUAAAGCUGCAAAGAAGCUGUCGCACUCAGGGAUGAAAAUUCUUAGUCAGGAAAGAAUGCAGAGCCUGAAGCAGAGCAUAGAUUUCAUGGCUGACUUGCAGAAAGAUAGAAUAGACACCUCGCAGAGUAGAGAGGACGGAGGCUGCUGGGCAAGAGAGAGAGAGGACUCUGGAGAUGCCAAAACACAAGGCCUCAAGAGUCCCAACAAAGAAAAUGAAAAAAAAAAAAAAAAUACACUUGAAGAUAAGUUUAAAAGCAGUAAUUUAGUGAGAGAGCAGGAGCGGCUUGACCGCAUCGUGAGGGAAUCUGGAAGAAAGCUGACCAGGCAGCUUGUGAACAGUCAGUACGAAUUUGAAAGAACAAAACCAGAUGGAACAAGGACGUUGGGACUUCUCCAUCCUGUGGAUCCCAUUGUAGGAGAGCCAGGCUACUGCCCUGUGAGCCCGGGAAUGACAACUGGAAGACUUCAGUCUGGAGUGAAUACUUUGCAGGGGUUCAAAGAGGAUAAAAGGCACAAAGUCACUCCAGUGUUACAUUUGAAUUACCAGCCCUGUGGUUCUUCUGCAAUGCAAAUAUCAGCAAGGAUGACUCUGAUUUAAUCUAUUCAACCUGUGGGGAAGACUCUGAUCUUCCAAGCAAUUUCAGCAUUCGUGAGUUUUUGGCCACGUGCCAGGAUUGUCCAUCUGUCAUGGCAGAUAUUUUGCUGGAUGUUUUAACAAAAGGAGGGCAUUCCAGGACUCUACAAGAGUUGGAGAUGUCAUCGCCUGAAGGUGAAGGCCGUACUAGGACACUUGACACAGCAAAAGAAAUGGAGAUUACAGAAAUAGAGCCAGCAGGAGUUUGGACUCUGAGACAGGCUCAUAGCACUGAAAGCAGUAGCAAACUUUGGCAUUCCAGUUGAAGUUUUUGACUUUGAAGAAGGUAAAGUAUUCCAGAAGAAACUUGAGACCACCAGAUUGCUCAGGGAGCUUCAGGAAGCCUAGAAUGAACGUCUGAGCACCAGACCCCCUCCCAACAUGAUCUGUCUCUUGGGUCCCUCGUAUAGAGAAAUGCCUCUUGCCGAAUAAGUGACCAAUAAUCUUGAAGAACUUGUACAGCAAGUAACUCCAGGUGAUAUCGUAAGCAUGUAUGCAGUUCAGAAAGCAAUGGGGAUUUCCAUUCCUUCGCCCGUCGUGGAAAACAACUUUGUGGAUUUGACAGAAGAUACUGAAGAACCUAAAAUGAUGGAUGUUGCUGAGUGUGGAGCUGGUGGGAGUUGAGGCCGCCUGGUAUUUGAUUAUACAUUAUAUACAUACUUUUUCAUUCUUAACUUAGAAAUACUUUUCAGAAGAUACUAAAUAUUUAUAAAUUGUGUUUUUAAUUUAACAUUGGAACAGUGA